UGCGGAAACGACGUAUGGACGCCAAAUAUGGCGUCAGAUUCAAAUGACUGCAGCAUAAAUGUUCCAAUUUGUAAAUGGAGGCCGGUUUAGCCUGAAGGCGUGAGUGCGUCUGGUGGCAAGGCAACAGCAGCAUCUGAGCAACCAGCCUCCCCGGUCCCAGAGCAAGCUGCCACCCGGCUAACGAACCACCAGGCUGGGUAGAGAGCCGGAGACAUGCAGCCCGAACCGGCGGAGCGGAGCAGACAGUCCGGCCGGGGCCGAGCGGAGCGGCGGGGAGUCGAAGAGAGGAGGUCCGGGGAGGAAGCACCGAGGUCAAAACUGAAAGAGAAGCAGACAGGAGGAAGAAAGAGGAAGAGCAGGAGAGAGGAAGAGGAAGGAAAGACGGAGGAGAAGAGUCGAGGAGGCUGAGAUGGAAAAUCAACGAGCUGGAGAAAGAAAAGCUGCAGCUGACGACCGAACACAACCAGGAGAUCUGUCGCCUGCAGGCGGCGUCGACUCGCCUCCGGUCGGUCCAUGGAGCUCAGCGAGGCUCAGGGGGCGGAGCUUCAGUACCAGCUGACGGCGAGUCGCAGAGAGAACCAAUCGCUGACAGGUCGAGCCGCCGUCCUCCCAGGAGACUCUGGAUGAGAUUGCGCUGCCGCCACCUA